rnacentral:rRNA from 1 species
GACGAACGCUGGCGGCGUGCUUAACACAUGCAAGUCGAACGGAAAGGCCCUGCUUUUGUGGGGUGCUCGAGUGGCGAAAGGGUGAGUAACACGUGAGUAACCUGCCCUUGACUUUGGGAUAACUUCAGUAAACUGGGGCUAAUACCGGAUAGGAGCUCCUGCUGCAUGGUGGGGGUUGGAAAGUUUCGGCGGUUGGGGAUGGACUCGCGGCUUAUCAGCUUGUUGGUGGGGUAGUGGCUUACCAAGGCUUUGACGGGUAGCCGGCCUGAGAGGGUGACCGGCCACAUUGGGACUGAGAUACGGCCCAGACUCCUACGGGAGGCAGCAGUGGGGAAUAUUGCACAAUGGGCGGAAGCCUGAUGCAGCAACGCCGCGUGCGGGAUGACGGCCUUCGGGUUGUAAACCGCUUUCGCCUGUGACGAAGCGUGAGUGACGGUAAUGGGUAAAGAAGCACCGGCUAACUACGUG